GCAGGACCCCCGGCACCAUGGUGCAUUGUUCCUGGCAACACCAAUUCAUGUCGAAAGAUGUAAGGGUCUCUUUACCAAAAACCUAUAAAGCUUAUUCAAGAAAAUAUACUGAGAAGUCACAGCCUAAGGAACAGAUCUAAAAACUGAAAAAAUGAAAACUAAAAGGCCGACAACCAUAGCUAAGGGGCCACAAACAGAUUGCUACUGAAGUAAGAAUAGAAAUUAAAAAUCGAUAUCAUUCAAUGGUGAACACAAGACUGAAUUGUGUUUUGGAUUCAAAGAUUGAAGUUGCUCUUGGGAAGUAGCACAUUUCAAGCAGAGAUGGGUUAUAAUUGAUUUCAGAUGAAGUCCUGCUCUCCUUUCUCCCUCUACUCAUACAAAAUAAAGCUGCAUGCAGGCUUCCCUUCGCUAGAGGACUCAGAUGAAGAACUCAAACUGGAUACCAAAUCUAUAUAGUUCUGCCUGGCCGUUUCCUGAAGAAAAG